AUUGAACGCUGGCGGCAUGCCUUACACAUGCAAGUCGAACGGUAACAGGUCUUCGGAUGCUGACGAGUGGCGAACGGGUGAGUAAUACAUCGGAACGUGCCCGAGAGUGGGGGAUAACGAAGCGAAAGCUUUGCUAAUACCGCAUACGAUCUCAGGAUGAAAGCAGGGGACCGCAAGGCCUUGCGCUCACGGAGCGGCCGAUGGCAGAUUAGGUAGUUGGUGGGAUAAAAGCUUACCAAGCCGACGAUCUGUAGCUGGUCUGAGAGGACGACCAGCCACACUGGGACUGAGACACGGCCCAGACUCCUACGGGAGGCAGCAGUGGGGAAUUUUGGACAAUGGGGGCAACCCUGAUCCAGCCAUGCCGCGUGAGUGAAGAAGGCCU
rnacentral:rRNA from 1 species